GGUAAGCUGGUCACACUCAACGCCAACGAAGCUCCAUAAAAACUACUUUUGCCAAAACAAUUGGAAAAUCGAGUAGCAAAAGAGCAAUACCGCUGAGCACCGCUGCGGUAGAAAUUAGUGGCGUUCACAUAACUUAUCAUCUACGUUGAUGUGCCGUAGUGCCGUACACCUAACUUAUUAUUUACGUAGAUAAAGUUGGUGCUCCAAAAUACUCGACUGACGCUGCUGCCAACGAAGUUUCUUUUCGCCAAGUGUGCGUGUGCCGCGUUGCAAUUUUCGUUUUGCCAAACGAGUAUAUUAGAUACAGAUCCGCGAAUCUGAAUUAAAAAAAAACCGGCGGGAACGAGGAGAGAACGGGUGAAUGUCGCAGAAACAUCAAAAGCAAUCCUACCAGCCGCUACCCACUGCGGCCGCCAUGGAUAAUCCCGCAAUGAGCCAGAGCAGCAGUAGCGGCGUAAGCAGUAGGAACGGUAGCCGCGAGGAUGUUGCCAACUUGGCCCCCAUCGGACUGCCUGCCACAUACUCAUCGCAGCAGCUGAUGCCUUCAGACUCAGACAGCAUGGAGGAGGAGAGACAUCGACUACGCCCCCCUCACCCAUCGGGGGAUCACAUUAUGCCGCACCCGGCCGUGCCCCUUAGACUGAGUGCGGUUAGGGGGUCGGAGUGGUUCGUGGUGUCGACACUCUGCUUCGUCAACCUCAUCAACUAUAUGGACCGUUUUACGAUUGCCGGAGUGCUGACGGACGUGCGGGAUGACUUCAAGAUUGGAAACGACCAGGCUGGACUGCUUCAGACCGUGUUCGUCAUCUCGUACAUGGUCUGCGCCCCGAUCUUUGGCUAUCUGGGCGAUCGUUACUCCCGGCCCUGGAUUAUGGCGGUGGGUGUGGCGUUGUGGAGCACAACGACCUUCUUGGGAUCGUACAUGCAGGACUUUGGAUGGUUCAUCACGUUCCGGGCGCUGGUGGGGAUCGGAGAAGCCUCCUAUAGCACCAUUGCUCCGACCAUCAUCUCGGAUCUGUUCGUCUCGGACAUGCGCUCCAAGAUGCUGGCGAUGUUCUACUUUGCCAUUCCCGUGGGAUCCGGUCUGGGGUACAUCGUUGGCUCCAAGACAGCUCACCUGGCCAACAACUGGCGCUGGGCCUUGAGGGUCACCCCCAUUCUGGGUGUCAUUGCCGUGCUGCUGAUAUUCCUCAUCAAGGACCCGCCCCGUGGUCACAGCGAGGGAUCCCAGAACCUGGAGGCCACCACCUACAAACAGGACAUUUGCGAGCUGUUGAAGAAUCGCUCCUUCAUGCUCUCCACGGCUGGCUUCACCUGCGUCGCCUUUGUGGCCGGUGCCUUGGCGUGGUGGGGUCCUUCCUUCAUCUAUCUAGGCAUGAAGAUGCAGCCGGGCAACGAUGAUCUGGUCCAAGACGACAUCUCAUAUAUGUUCGGCAUUGUGGCCAUGUUGGCCGGCUUGAUCGGCGUUCCGCUGGGCUCCAUACUGGCCCAACGACUACGCGGUCCGUAUCCCAAGUGCGAUCCGUACAUCUGUGCGGCGGGACUCAUCAUCUCGGCGCCCAUGGUCUUUGCCGCUCUGGUGAUGCCCCAGAAGAGCGAGGUCUGGUGCUACUUCUUCGUGUUUGUGGCCCAGGUGGCCCUCAACCUGUGCUGGUCGAUAGUCGCCGACAUGCUCCUGUAUGUUGUUGUUCCUACACGUCGAUCCACGGCUGAGGCCUUCCAGAUCCUGAUUUCGCAUGCCCUGGGUGAUGCCGGCAGUCCCUACCUGGUGGGAGCGAUGUCUGAGGCCAUCAUGAAACACUUGCAGAAGAAUCCCGGCGAUUCUGGUUUGUCCACUGAAAUGGAAAGUAUGUCUCAGGUGGUAGAGACCACGACCAUUACUGUUAAAGGACUAAUCGAAGAAGGUGCCGCUAAACUGGCAGACACCUUGAGCUUGACCGCGGAAAAAAGAGCCGGAGAGUUCUCGGAAGUAGUCCAGUUCGAAGGAUUGCAGUAUGCCCUGUUCUCCACCAGCUUUGUGGAAGUUCUGGGGGGUAUUUUCUUCUUGAUCACAGCCUGCUUCAUCAUCAAGGACAGGCAAAAGGCCUCCCAAGGCGUCUGUGGAUCCUCGGAGGCAGAGCGAUCGUCACAUGCCUUGGCCAGCGGUCAGAAGGACAUAGAGUCCUUCAACUCAGACUACCUGGUCCUGUGCACUGAUAUCGCUCUCCGCGAACGCACGUGAUAACAGCACAGUAGUCAGGUGUGGAAGUAUGUGCUCAGCACAUAUGUAUCACGUGAAUGUAUUUUGGCCCCAGUUUCCGACGCCGCGUCCCAGCAACAGCCGCCGCGACGGGAGCAGAAUGUUGCCUAAUACCAGCCGAUCCUUGAGGUUAUGCUGCGCACUCAGAGCUCCAACGAUGCGCUGCAGGCUGAACAUAUUCUGACUGAAAACCAUCUUUAGUUUAAGCUCUCACCAAGCUCAUCAUCAGCAGUACACCUCAGUACACCAUGCCAUCAUAGACAAUGGCGGGGAAUUCUGUCGCAUUCUGUUCGUCGAAGGUUCCCCUUGUGAUGUUCCUAUUAGGAGGGAAAUAUCGAUCGGAUUGAACGGACUGUGGUCGUCGUGGAUGAAGAACCAAGCACGAACUACUUCUCCGUUUGUAUAGAUAUAUGCAAAGACACUCUCUCACAUGCACCCGAGUCAUAGCAUUACUCCGAAACAGUAGUGAUGCAACAGUAGUCGUACAUAUAUGUAUCUAGUUUUGGUAUUUUAGGCUAAAUCGAAAUUCAGGAGGGAGCAACUGUUUUAAUGCAUUUGAAACUGAUUCGAUCAAAGUACAUACAUAUAUCAGUCGUGGGCAGUCGAAUGCAGAAUGUGUCAAAAGUGCCUACUAUGCUAAAAUUGUUCAAUGCUUUUAUGUAUAUUAUGACACGACUUGUAAAUAUAUUUAAGAAUAUACCGGGCCAUUGGAUAAGUGCAUAGUUUGUAAUAUCGAUAGUUUUCCUCUAAUUUUAUAUAUAUAUAUUUUAAUCGUAGCUUUACUUAGUUAGACCCGUAACAAAUUGGAGAUAUGCCUGCACCCUCAAAAAUUACUGAAUAUUACAGAUUAAUUAUAUUAUAAACCAAGAAACUAAACAAAUUAA